AGAAUGGUAAUUGAACAAUGUGUUGAAAACACCCUCAAUGCACAAUGUACAACACUUGAAGCACCAAGAAACACAACAUAAUUUACCCUUCAACUGAUUCAUCUUCAGCCAUCCAUUUCUUUCACCUUUUCACACGGAUUGUGAUCUGAACGGUUGAUAUUCAGCUCACAUGGAUCGCCCUUUCUACUCCCUUCUCUCUCACAACUCACAUCUCACAAACUUUAUCAGACUCUUUCUCUCUCUUUCUCCCAGAUGAUGAAAGAUGUCUGGAGUGCUGAUGGUUUGAGAUGAAAUCAGAUGAUGAACAACCUGUGAUGAAGAACAAACAUCAAUGAAAUCGAAAACACACAGGGUUGAACACGGAUUUGAAGAAACCCUAACUGAAGGUUUUGUCCGGUCAUCUGUUGUGGUUUCUUUCGGCUUUCUUCCACAUCAACGAUUAGCAAACACAAAGGUUUAAUGGUGGCAUGUUUGUGCUGGUUCAACAAAGCCAGAAAGCGGAGGCGACGGCUAGGGUUUCGAUUAGUGAUCUCGGUCUGAUGUUCUUCACGAUAGAGAUGCACUCGAGAUGGUAAAGAUGGAAUUCCAGCAUUGCUUGGGGUUACAGGGAUCCGCGUUUGAGUUUAGUUCUGGCUGGAAUCCGAGUCGAUCGUUUCACAACUACAAUGGCGUCUUCUAGGGUUUCAUCAAAAGUCCAAAUCAAGAAAAUCCGUUGGGUCCAUCACUAAAGCUGCAGAUAUUUUCAGAUCUGAAGUAUGAUAGGCCAAACGAAUUGACGGAUCGGCAACUUUCUAAUGAGAUGGAAGCGAUUGCGGCUGCUUAUCAUAUUUUUAGAAAUGCUGCUCAGCCUGGUUUCACGUACAUUGAAGAUAUGGAUUUAAGGAGAUUUAUGAAAAUUAGGCAGGCUGGCACGUUUGGGUGACAAGCAUAAACCCAUUUAAGUAGAAAAAUUUGGAAGUAUUUUGUUACCGGUCGGGUUAGGAACGAAGAAGCGCAUGGGACUCGAGGGUUGUACCUCAUGGCAGUCAAAGUAACAAGUAAAACAAGAAGGAAGCGAGUCAUAAGCGUAAUGAUGAAAGAUGUCUGGAGUGCUGAUGGUUUGAGAUGAAAUCAGAUGAUGAACAACCUGUGAUGAAGAACAAACAUCAAUGAAAUCGAAAACACACAGGGUUGAACACGGAUUUGAAGAAACCCUAACUGAAGGUUUUGUCCGGUCAUCUGUUGUGGUUUCUUUCGGCUUUCUUCCACAUCAACGAUUAGCAAACACAAAGGUUUAAUGGUGGCAUGUUUGUGCUGGUUCAACAAAGCCAGAAAGCGGAGGCGACGGCUAGGGUUUCGAUUAGUGAUCUCGGUCUGAUGUUCUUCACGAUAGAGAUGCACUCGAGAUGGUAAAGAUGGAAUUCCAGCAUUGCUUGGGGUUACAGGUGUGCUUGAUUUGGGAUCCGCGUUUGAGUUUAGUUCUGGCUGGAAUCCGAGUCGAUCGUUUCACAACUACAAUGGCGUCUUCUAGGGUUUCAUCAAAAGUCCAAAUCAAGAAAAUCCGUUGGGUCCAUCACUAAAGCUGCAGAUAUUUUCAGAUCUGAAGUAUGAUAGGCCAAACGAAUUGACGGAUCGGCAACUUUCUAAUGAGAUGGAAGCGAUUGCGGCUGCUUAUCAUAUUUUUAGAAAUGCUGCUCAGCCUGGUUUCACGUACAUUGAAGAUAUGGAUUUAAGGAGAUUUAUGAAAAUUAGGCAGGCUGGCACGUUUGGGUGACAAGCAUAAACCCAUUUAAGUAGAAAAAUUUGGAAGUAUUUUGUUACCGGUCGGGUUAGGAACGAAGAAGCGCAUGGGACUCGAGGGUUGUACCUCAUGGCAGUCAAAGUAACAAGUAAAACAAGAAGGAAGCGAGUCAUAAGCGUACUGGGGAUUGGCUGCAGGGACCUUAUGUGUACUACCUUUACACGAUGUACGGUUUCGGUAUAGGUGAAAUUGGGCAGCUGUUUAUUGCUGGAUUUGGAUCUUCCAUGCUGUUUGGGACAAUUGUUGGAUCAUUAGCUGAUAACAUGGUCGAAAAAGAGCUUCGGUUACAGUGCAUAACUUACAUUUUGAGUUGCAUCAUGAAGCAUUCACCUGACUACAGAAUUUUGAUGGUGGGACGAAUCUUGGGAGGGAUUGCCACUUCGCUUCUGAUUUCGGCUUUCGAGUGAUGGCUUGUUGCUGAACACAACAAGGUUGAGGCUGAGGUUUCACGACUUGAAGCGUUGAAGUCGAGCAAAAUGAAGGAACUCGUCUUCAAGAAACGAUUAGAGUUAGAGGACAUUUGUAGAAAGACUCACUUCCAGAAGCUGCUGAUAGUUCAAUGGAGAUAGCUAUGGAAGCUAUUGAAGCUGGUAGAUGUGGAUUUGAACCUUGUGAAGAGCUUUCUUGGUUCGUUUUCUUCUCAAGAGGGACUACCGUGACCUGCUUCGAAUCUGCUUGGUCUCAUGGGCCUUCAACUCCCACAAGACGACAAUAAGGACAAAUGAUUAGAUGUUUGGAUGAAAUACUUGAUCUUGUGAGAGGAUAGCCUUUUGAUUGACCCUCCUGCAAGUUUUGAUCGCUUUACUUUUUGACGGAUAUGAAAUAGCAUAUUGUGUUUCUCACAUCAUUGAAGUUUGAGGUUGUUAUUUGAUUCGAUUUCAGAAAAUCGGGUUCGAAGGAGUUGAAUUUGAACCCUUGACACACUGUUUGGUGUGGUUUGAUACUUUGACUUUAUCCUUAUUAUUUAUUUUUGGUUGCUAAAUACGAGAUGUGUAUUGAAGUUGUAGUAUAAAAAGUUGUAGAGAAUGCGUUUAAGAUUAAGAUCUUUAGGAGAAUGGGGUUGCUAAAUGAAUGAACAAAACUUUGAGUGAAAGGGCAAAGACUGCGAUAGUUCUUAUACGGCUACCAAAGACGUUUUGGGAAUAUCCUGUUAAAUCUGGUGUUUGGGCCGAUUCUUUGAGCCGUGGGCUAAUUGAUCUUAAUAUAUCUGGACAUAAGUGUGCCACUACUACCAAAAUUUGAAUUACUUUUGUUAUUUGACCCAUACAUAAUCGACCCAUUUUAUGAUAUUCGUGCAGCCAAGAAGGUAGACCUGACUGAUGUGGGCAUUGUUGGCAGUUUGUCUGUAGGGGUCGAAGAGAAGGAUAAGGGACUUCCAAAUUCUUUGUACAUGGGUCGAGCUAUGGGCACUGGAUCUGGGCUCGGUUAGUCCACUGGUUUCAUUACUUCGGCAACAACAGAUAUGGAUGAUUUCUUUUCUAGCCUUGGCGGGCCAUAAAAUCAAUAUGGUUCGUUCCAAAAGUGAAACCUUCUUUUAUUGGUUUCACAAAGUUUAUACAGUUACAUGUAAAAUAUUUUGUUCAAGUGUGAGAUCGUUUGGUGUGUCGAUGACCUUGUAGCAAUUUAUGAGAUUUUUUUGAGUGUUUGCCACUGGUGAUGCUUUAUGCAUAUAGCGUCGGUGCUGCAAACAAUUUUACUCCUGGAUUUGUACCUUACUUCCUGGCAAUAUAGUGUGUAUGGAUUUAUCU